rnacentral:rRNA from 1 species
AUGAACGCUAGCGACAGGCCUAACACAUGCAAGUCGAGGGGCAGCGGGGAGGUAGCAAUACCUUUGCCGGCGACCGGCGCACGGGUGAGUAACACGUAUGCAAUCCACCUGUAACAGGGGGAUAACCCGGAGAAAUCCGGACUAAUACCCCAUAAUAUGGGCGCUCCGCAUGGAGAGUCCAUUAAAGAGAGCAAUCUUGGUUACAGACGAGCAUGCGCUCCAUUAGCCAGUUGGCGGGGUAACGGCCCACCAAGGCGACGAUGGAUAGGGGUUCUGAGAGGAAGGUCCCCCACAUUGGAACUGAGACACGGUCCAAACUCCUACGGGAGGCAGCAGUGAGGAAUAUUGGUCAAUGGUCGGCAGACUGAACCAGCCAAGUCGCGUGAGGGAAGACGGCCCUACGGGUUGUAAACCUCUUUUGUCGGAGAGUAAAGUACGCUACGUGUAGUGUAUUGCAAGUAUCCGAAGAAAAAGCAUCGGCUAACUCCGUGCCAGCAGCCGCGGUAAUACGGAGGAUGCGAGCGUUAUCCGGAUUUAUUGGGUUUAAAGGGUGCGUAGGCGGCACGCCAAGUCAGCGGUGAAAUUUCCGGGCUCAACCCGGACUGUGCCGUUGAAACUGGCGAGCUAGAGUGCACAAGAGGCAGGCGGAAUGCGUGGUGUAGCGGUGAAAUGCAUAGAUAUCACGCAGAACCCCGAUUGCGAAGGCAGCCUGCUAGGGUGCGACAGACGCUGAGGCACGAAAGCGUGGGUAUCGAACAGGAUUAGAUACCCUGGUAGUCCACGCAGUAAACGAUGAAUACUAACUGUUUGCGAUACAAUGUAAGCGGUACAGCGAAAGCGUUAAGUAUUCCACCUGGGGAGUACGCCGGCAACGGUGAAACUCAAAGGAAUUGACGGGGGCCCGCACAAGCGGAGGAACAUGUGGUUUAAUUCGAUGAUACGCGAGGAACCUUACCCGGGCUUGAAAGUUAGCGACGAUUCUUGAAAGAGGAUUUCCCUUCGGGGCGCGAAACUAGGUGCUGCAUGGUUGUCGUCAGCUCGUGCCGUGAGGUGUCGGCUUAAGUGCCAUAACGAGCGCAACCCCUAUGGACAGUUACUAACGGGUGAAGCCGAGGACUCUGUCUAGACUGCCGGCGCAAGCCGCGAGGAAGGUGGGGAUGACGUCAAAUCAGCACGGCCCUUACGUCCGGGGCGACACACGUGUUACAAUGGCAGGUACAGAAGGCAGCCAGUCAGCAAUGACGCGCGAAUCCCGAAAACCUGUCUCAGUUCGGAUUGGAGUCUGCAACCCGACUCCAUGAAGCUGGAUUCGCUAGUAAUCGCGCAUCAGCCAUGGCGCGGUGAAUACGUUCCCGGGCCUUGUACACACCGCCCGUCAAGCCAUGGAAGCCGGGAGUACCUGAAGCAUGCAACCGCAAGGAGCGUACGAAGGUAAUACCGGUAACUGGGGCU